rnacentral:rRNA from 1 species
AGCGAAGCGGACGACCCUUCGGGGAGCUUACACAGGUGCUGCAUGGCUGUCGUCAGCUCGUGUCGUGAGAUGUUGGGUUAAGUCCCGCAACGAGCGCAACCCUCGUCGUUAGUUACACGUGUCUAACGAUACUGCCGGUACCAAACCGGAGGAAGGUGGGGAUGACGUCAAGUCAGCAUGGCCUUUAUAUCCAGGGCUACACACACGCUACAAUGGCAGGUACAAUGGGCAGCCAAAGGGAGACCUGGAGCGAAUCCUAUCAAAGCCUGUCGUAGUUCAGAUUGUAGGCUGCAACCCGCCUACAUGAAGCUGGAGUUGCUAGUAAACGCAGGUCAGCCAUACUGCGUUGAAUACGUUCCCGGGCCUUGUACACACCGCCCGUCACGUCAUGGGAGUUGGUAACACCUGAAGUCGGUGACCUAACCGCAAGGGAGGAGCUGCCUAGGGUGGGGCUGAUGACUGGGA